rnacentral:rRNA from 1 species
UACGUAGGGUGCGAGCGUUUGUCCGGAAUUAUUUGGGCGUAAAGAGCUUGUAGGCGGUUUGUCGCGUCUGCCGUGAAAAUCCGAGGCUCAACCUCGGACUUGCGGUGGGGUACGGGCAGACUAGAGUGUGGUAGGGGAGACUGGAAUUCCUGGUGUAGCGGUGAAAUGCGCAGAUAUCAGGAGGAACACCGGUGGCGAAGGCGGGUCUCUGGGCCGAUAUUGACGCUGAGGAGCGAAAGCGUGGGGAGCGAACAGG